UCUUAAACAUCAUUGAAUUAGAAAUUAAUAUUAUAUAAUUAUAUAAGUUUUUGGCAGUUGAGUGUACGUAAAUAUCUGUUAUUAGAAUAGUUUAUAAUUUGACGUUUGUUCACGGUUUGAUGAGUAUCUAAAAAUAAACAACUUUGUGCGAUACUGCCAGCCAAUAAAAUUGAGGCAAAUUAACAUACGUUUUUACAAGAGAGAGAAAGAAAAAAGGAGAGAGAAGAACUUGUUUAUAUUUAUCAGAAGCUACCAUUUAUCAUUGACCUGUCGUGAAGAGAAGAGGUAGACCACAACGAUUUGGAUCGCGAUCUGACGAUUAAAACAGCAUCACGAUAUUAAUAACAAAAGUUGCAUUAAAAAAAUUGGAUAAGGAGGACUACGUUCUCAAAUUUUAUUGAAGUUUAAAUAAGAAAUUCCUAAAUAAAUAUUCAUGAUGUGUUUUACUAGAUUAAUGCAAAUCUUAAUGCAAACGUUUCGUUGGUUACAUUCGUUCGUAACAAGUAUUGCUGAUAUCGGUAUUAAAACUAGUAUUGCUUUGGUGCUAUUUAUAUCAGUUUUUAUGGUAUUAAUACCAAUUAGUGAGACAGAUACUAAAGUCGAUACAAGUAAUAACAUUCAGAUCAUUAAAUUGAAAGAUAAGGUGGAAAGUAUUCCAAAAACACCUACACGUUGGAUGAAAAUAUUUGAAGAUAUAUUAUAUAUGACGAUAUUUAUAUUAUUUGUGUUUUUGUGUUGCUUCGGAUUUAUUAAAUGGCUGUUAAAUAUUUUAAUUAUGAUAUGCACUAGAAAUGGCCGUACGUUACUAUAUCAAAAUAUUCGGAAUGCUUUCAACCCUGAUGAGUCAGAUAGUGAUGAUUCUAUAGGUGGCCGUUACCUAUAACAAGAUAAUAAAAUUUAUUGGAAUGACAAUGCAAUGAAAUACGUAAAUAAAAUAUGAACGGUAAAUUAUAGGCAGAGUUUAUCUUAAAUUGGUACGUUUUAAAUCGGUACACUCGAGAAAUAAUAUAAGCAUGCAAACAAGUAUCGAUAUGAGUAUAAGAUUUUUGAAAAUUAAAUGACCAAAUUUUAGAAAUAAAUUCUAUUCAUUAUAUAAAUGAGAAAUUAAUUCUAUUCAUUAUAUAAAUGAGAAACAUUUAUAUAAACGUGAUUUUAGGAACGCUUCUCUUUUAAAUUAUAAACACUUUCUGUUUACGAUAAAGUUUGGCAAGAACAUUUUGAAAAAAAAGGUGCAAAAAAUAAUUUUAUUUUCACAAAUAUUUACUUUCUAUCAACGUCUUAUCAACUAUUUAAAAUGUUUAAAAAUUUUUAGAAGAUUUGAGAUUUUAUAACACGAAAUAAUAAUACAAUUUCAAAUUUUUUCCAAAUGGCAAUAAAAUAGCAAAACGAGAAUCAGUAAUAAUUUUAUAAAACCUUCUAAAUAAAAAUCUAAAAAUUUUAAAACAUUCAAUUUAAAUGG